rnacentral:piRNA from 1 species
UGUGCUUGGAAGUGGAAACAACCCGAA